UCUGGGUGAGGAUUCGCAGGACUUU
rnacentral:miRNA from 1 species